rnacentral:rRNA from 1 species
CCUACGGGAGGCAGCAGUAGGGAAUCUUCCACAAUGGGCGAAAGCCUGAUGGAGCAACGCCGCGUGAGCGAAGAAGGUCUUCGGAUCGUAAAGCUCUGUUGUAAGGGAAGAACAAGUGCAGUAGUAACUGGCUGCACCUUGACGGUACCUUACUAGAAAGCCACGGCUAACUACGUGCCAGCAGCCGCGGUAAUACGUAGGUGGCAAGCGUUGUCCGGAAUUAUUGGGCGUAAAGCGCGCGCAGGCGGUYUCUUAAGUCUGAUGUGAAAGCCCCCGGCUUAACCGGGGAGGGUCAUUGGAAACUGGGAGACUUGAGUGCAGGAGAGGGAAGCGGAAUUCCAUGUGUAGCGGUGAAAUGCGUAGAGAUAUGGAGGAACACCAGUGGCGAAGGCGGCUUCCUGGCCUGUAACUGACGCUGAGGCGCGAAAGCGUGGGGAGCAAACAGGAUUAGAUACCCUGGUAGUCCACGCCGUAAACGAUGAGUGCUAAGUGUUAGGGGGUUUCCACCCCUUAGUGCUGCAGCUAACGCAUUAAGCACUCCGCCUGGGGAGUACGGUCGCAAGACUGAAACUCAAAGGAAUUGACGG